AUCUAGGGUUUGUUGUUAUCUAAACAAACCCUAGUUAUAUUGUAUGUAUAUAUAUCCCCACUCUAUGGAAUAAAAAUCUGAUCUAUUCUCUCUCCACCUCUCAUAUUUUCUUCUUAUUUUAUUACACAAGCAUCAUAAAUUGACUGAUCUCAAACUACCUCUUGAUUUCACGAACAUCAACCAGAAAAGUAAUUUCCCAAAUCCCUCUGCCGAAACCACCGUUGCUCUGCCGAUACCACCGAUCCUUGUUCUUUGGGCUUGUUUGUACUCGUUCUUGCACUCUAAUUUUAAGCGAAUGCGACAUCCCAUAGUGGGAAGGAGAAAAAGGCUAGAGAUCAUGCCAGCAGUCGUGGUCGAGGCCGUGGGACAUCUGUUUUUGGAUAUUUUUAUGUUUUUGGAUAUUUCAUUAUUAUUAUUAUCAGUCAUUUAUUAAUUUAAGUUAUUUGGUUUAGUGAAUCUUAUUUUAGUUCCUUUAAUUCUAUUAGAAUAUUAAUUUGAGAAUUUUUAGUAUAAAGGUUCAUAUAAUUGGGCAAGAGGAACGAAUAUGAGUCUUAUAAGAAUCAUUUUACUUUGCUUGAUACAUGCAUUUAUAAAAGAAUUUAUGGCUUAAAAGGUGCAA